GAGAGGACGCCGUGGCGCCCGGGUGCAAGGCCAGCGGGCGCGGCAGCCGCGUCACCCACCUCCUGGGGUACCCGACGCAGAACGUCAGCCGCUCCCUGCGCCGCAAGUACGCGCCUCCCCCCUGCGGCGGCCCCGAGGACGUGGCCCUGGCGCCCUGCACCGCCGCCGCCGCCUGCGAAGCGGGCCCCUCCCCGGUCUACGUCAAGGUCAAGAGCGCGGAGCCGGCUGACUGCGCCGAGGGGCCGGUGCAGUGCAAGAACGGCCUCUUGGUCUCCAGCCCACACUGUGAAGAGCCUUGUGCCCACAGCUGUGCACAUCCUGGGCUUCCUCCACACCUUGUCCAUAAACUGCCCCUCAGCUACCUUCAGACCCAGGAUACAGGAGAACAGAUGCAAAAACUAUUGCUCAAGGAAAAUAAAGUGAAAACGAGGAAAAGCAAAAGAAGAUCUGGAGAGGGCUCUCACCUGACCACAAGCAUCCUGGAGCAAUGAGUUUCAGGCAGGAAGACUCAUCCUGAGCUGAGCUGCUUUUCUUGAAGUUGUGCAAGAACGUCCUGUUGGCUGGGGCAAAUUCAGUAUUUCUUUUCCUGGCCACUGUGCUGGAGCGUGAGGAAAGACUCUCCACCCUCACUCCCAGAUCCUGCAGGAGGCGUGAGAGCGGAUGGAGAUGGUGAGGAUGUCUAUUAAUAUGGUGUUUCCUGCAAAACGGUGCCCAUCUCAACCAUGGGUUGUCAACCAUCCUCGGUGUCUACAACUGCAAUUUACCUUUGAGGGCCCAUGAACUCUGAUUACCUGAAAGUCCUUAGGCCAGAAAGAGAAACCCCUGUCCCCCACCUCUCACUUUCACCUAUUUCUAGACCUUUUCUUACAGCAAUGCCUUGGCCCUCAGGAAGCAUCAGAUCUCAAACUGCAGGGUCUGGGGCUGAAGCUGAUGCUGGCAUGGGUGACUCAGAGUUCCUCUAUUAGUUCAAAUAUGUAAUAUCUUUUAGAGCCUAGGACUCAGGCUGGAGGCAAUUCCUUGGUGCCAGUUGGUUAAUACUUUAUGAAUAGUGGUGGGGGAGGGAAUGCCUUGGACUAUUAAUGUCCCCAUGGAUCUGGAUCCUGGAGAACUUCCAGUGUCCUGGAUGGAAUGUUCUGCUUGGCUCAUCUUGCCCAGAGAAGAGCCAGGAUAUGAGAAGAUGGGAGAGGGAAGGGGGAGGUGUGAAACGUGCUGGUGCUUCCUGUCCUCGUGGUGUGAUGGCUGCCCAGGCUGCUCCUUCGAGGCAGGACAGGAUUCCCAUGGGAGAUAUGAGGACCAUGGUGAUUUCCAGGCACCAGUUAUGUCCCAGAGCAUCGUGUGCCUGUGCAGUGGGGUUACUGAUAGUCCAGGCAUCAGUUCAUAUUGUCCUUUAUGGCAGAUCCUGCACAAGGGGGUUCUCUGUCUCUGGACCCACUCUGUCAGCAUGGACAUCCUUUUUCUUUUUCCCUGGUAAGGACAUCAGAAAGAAAGUUACCCCUCCAGUGUUUGGAGUCUUGGAAUCCUUGGCCUGCCUGCAGGCCUCUGAAUCCUCAGUGUGUUAGCCCAAGGUCACCUUAGGUAAAGGAACAUUUCUCCUGGUCUUCCAACACCCUGGAAAGGGAGGCUCUUCAAGAAUAGGAAAUUCUUCCUAGUAUCUAACCUUGGCCUGCAACUAUGCCAUACAUUUAAUUGUAGAAGGUAUGGAAAGUUAGGACUGUGGUGGACCCAGUUAAAUCACUGGACAGAAGCCAUGAGGCAGAGCCAGAACCAGCUUCUGGACUCCCUGCAUGGAGCUUUCUACUAUCCCAGGUUGUUGGGUCCCUUCUCAGUGGCCAAAGAUGCUAUUUUAUGAGCCUUGAGGACAUGACACUAAGUGAAAAAAGCCUGGCCAAAGGGCCACAUAGUGUAUAGUUCUAUUUAUAUGAAAUGUCCAGGAAAGACAAAAGCAUAGAGGCAGAAAGCAGACUAGUGCUGUGGGAGGAAUGGGGGAUUUGGGAGGUGAUGGCUAAGGGGUUAUGGGGUUUUGGGGGAGGUAAUAGAAAUGUUUUAAAAUUGGUUGUGAAGGUGGAUGCCCAACUCUGCGAAUACACUAAAAGGCAUCGAAUUGUAUACUUUAAAUAGGUGAAUUGUAUGCUAUGUGAAUUAUAUCUCAAUAAAGG
rnacentral:lncRNA from 1 species